rnacentral:snRNA from 1 species
AUCGCUUCUCGGCCUUUUGGCUAAGAUCAAGUGUAGGAAAAUAUCUAUUCAAAUCCUUCACCCAUAUUUGAUUUGGUUUUUGUUGCUAUUAUUGUGGGUGGUGGCUUUUUUAAGUGCUGCUCUGUCUCCAGUCACAGGCACCUUCCUCCGCACUUCCUAUGCACUUUUU